rnacentral:misc_RNA from 1 species
AACGAGGCCGACCUGCGGCUGAGUUACCUGCGGAAGGAUCAUUACACAACAAAAUAUGAAGGUCUGGCUUCGCGGCCGGCUGAAGUAUUUUUUUUCACCCAUGUCUUUUGCGCACUUGUUGUUUCCUGGGCGGGUUCGCCCGCCACCAGGACCAAACCAUAAACCUUUUUUUUAUGUAGUUGCAAUCAGCGUCAGUAAAAACAAUGUAAUUAUUACAACUUUUAACAAUGGAUCUCAGAU